rnacentral:rRNA from 1 species
GAGUUUGAUUCUGGCUCAGGAUGAACGCUAGCGAUAGGCUUAACACAUGCAAGUCGAGGGGCAGCAUGAACUUAGCUUGCUAAGUUUGAUGGCGACCGGCGCACGGGUGCGUAACGCGUAUGCAACUUGCCUUACAGAGGGGGAUAACCCGUUGAAAGACGGACUAAUACCGCAUAUACUUAUUCGGUUGCAUGACCGGGCAAGGAAAUAUUUAUAGCUGUAAGAUAGGCAUGCGUCCCAUUAGCUGGUUGGUGAGGUAACGGCUCACCAAGGCAACGAUGGGUAGGGGAACUGAGAGGUUUAUCCCCCACACUGGUACUGAGACACGGACCAGACUCCUACGGGAGGCAGCAGUGAGGAAUAUUGGUCAAUGGGCGAGAGCCUGAACCAGCCAAGUCGCGUGAAGGAAGACUGUCCUAAGGAUUGUAAACUUCUUUUAUACGGGAAUAACGGGCGAUACGCGUAUUGCUAUGAA